GCCGGAUUAGCUCAGUCGGUAGAGCAGCUCAUUCGUAAUGAGAAGGUCGGGGGUUCGAUU
rnacentral:tRNA from 1 species